rfam:Triticum aestivum genome assembly, contig: Triticum_aestivum_CS42_TGACv1_scaffold_320267_4BL
AUAAUACUCCCUCCGUCCGGAAAUACUUGUCAGAUUAAUGGAUGUAUCUAGACAUACUUUAGUUCUAGAUACAUCCAUUUUUAUCCAUUUCUACGACAAGUAAUUCUGGACGCAGGGAGUAUGAU